rnacentral:rRNA from 1 species
CCCGAAGUAUCCUGAAUCUUUCGCAUUGUUAAUCAUACAAAUGCUUAUAAUAAACACAAAAAUCAAUGAUAAUUAUGCCAUUAUAUAAUUCCGAGAAAUUAACGCACUGUACUCAUAUAAAUCUAUCAGCACUUUAUCAAAUUUAUGACAUUUAUUUUAUGUUAAAAUGCAAGCAUUCUAAUUCAAAUAAGCAAUNAUCUACAAUUUUUUGAUAAAUUUAUUGAUACUAAUAGAUUACAAUGUCCUUAUAUGGAAAAAAUGCACACUAUUAUUAUAAUAUAGAUUAUAUAUUACAAUUCUAAUGAUGAAUUUUCCAUAACGGAUAUUCAGGUUCAUCGGGC